UGAAGAGCACCGGAAACCAGGAGGAGGCACAGGGUUCUCCCCUGAGAGCCAGGCCAGCUCUUGGUGUUUCUUCGCUGCAGGUGCCAUUUGGCAUUGAGGAUUGUUUUUCUCUUCCUCUGGGAAAGUAAGAGGGAGAGGACACAGUCUGAGUGG
rnacentral:snoRNA from 10 species